AUGGUGGCUCAGGCGGGGCAGCCUUCGGGCUGGCCGGUACCCAUUGAGGCCGGUUUCUCACCCCCGUCUGGGCUACCACCCGAGCGUGAGAACUCCGGUGGUAGCGUUAACCGCUACUCAAUGGAGGUUGCCCUUAUGGCUACGAUCCUCACCCCGUUACACCCGCAGUUUGUCUUUGUGUUUGCCGCCGUUCGUCGUGCAGACCGUAAACCCCGUAUCUGUAUGCUCCGCACCGUUGCCGGUGAUGAACACACCGCACGCCUUUCUCUUGUUCGCGAUUACGUCCUCUCGUUUGCUGGCCGUCUGCCGGUUGCGGAGGUGCGCGCAUGA
rnacentral:misc_RNA from 1 species